rnacentral:rRNA from 1 species
UACGUAGGGGGCGAGCGUUGUCCGAAUUCACUGGGCGUAAAGCGCGCGUAGGCGGACUUUUAAGUUGGGGGUGAAAUCCCGAGGCUCAACCUCGGAACUGCCUUCAAAACUGGGAGUCUUGAGGUAUGGAGAGGGAACUGGAAUUCCUGGUGUAGCGGUGAAAUGCGUAGAUAUCAGGAGGAACACCCACGGCGAAGGCAGGUUCCUGGCCAUAUCCUGACGCUGAGGUGCGAAAGCUAGGGGAGCGAACGGGAUUAGAUACCCCGGUAGUCCUAGCCGUAAACGAUGGAUACUAGGUGUUAGAGGUAUCGACCCCUCUAGUGCCGUAAGCUAACGCGUUAAGUAUCCCGCCUGGGGAGUACGACCGCAAGGUUG